UGGCGGCGUGCCUAACACAUGCAAGUCGAGGGGUAGUAUAGCAAUAUAUGAGACCGGCGCACGGGUGCGUAACGCGUAUGCAACCUACCUUUUACAGGGGAAUAGCCCAGAGAAAUUUGGAUUAAUGCCCCAUGGUAUAAUUGAAUGGCAUCAUUUGAUUAUUAAAGUUCCAACGGUAAAAGAUGGGCACGCGUCCUAUUAGCUGGAUGGUAAGGUAACGGCUUACCAUGGCUACGAUAGGUAGGGGUCCUGAGAGGGAGAUCCCCCACACUGGUACUGAGACACGGACCAGACUCCUACGGGAGGCAGCAGUGAGGAAUAUUGGACAAUGGGCGCAAGCCUGAUCCAGCCAUGCCGCGUGCAGGAAGACGCAUCUAUGGUGUGUAAACUGCUUUUGUACGGGAAGAAACACCCCCUCGUGAGGGGGCUUGACGGUACCGUAAGAAUAAGGAUCGGCUAACUCCGUGCCAGCAGCCGCGGUAUACGGAGGAUCCAAGCGUUAUCCGGAAUCAUUGGGUUUAAAGGGUCCGUAGGCGGUUUGAUAAGUCAGUGGUGAAAGCCCAUCGCUCAACGAUGGAACGGCCAUUGAUACUGUCAGACUUGAAUUAUUGUGAAGUAACUAGAAUAUGUAGUGUAGCGGUGAAAUGCUUAGAUAUUACAUGGAAUACCAAUUGCGAAGGCAGG
rnacentral:rRNA from 1 species